UGGGCGAAAGCCUGAUCCAGCCAUGCCGCGUGAGUGAUGAAGGCCUUCGGGUUGUAAAGCUCUUUUAGCGGGGAAGAUAAUGACGGUACCCGCAGAAAAAGCCCCGGCUAACUUCGUGCCAGCAGCCGCGGUAAUACGAAGGGGGCUAGCGUUGUUCGGAUUUACUGGGCGUAAAGCGCGCGUAGGCGGGUCGUUAAGUCGGGGGUGAAAUCCCGAGGCUCAACCUCGGAACUGCCUUCGAUACUGGCGACCUAGAGUCCGGGAGAGGUGUAUGGAACUCCUAGUGUAGAGGUGGAAUUCGUAGAUAUUAGGAAGAACACCGGUGGCGAAGGCGAUACACUGGCCCGGUACUGACGCUGAGGCGCGAAAGCGUGGGGAGCAAACAGGAUUAGAUACCCUGGUAGUCCACGCCGUAAACUAUGGAAGCCAGCCGUUGGGGGGUUUGCCCCUCAGUGGCGCAGCUAACGCAUUAAGCUUCCCGCCUGGGGAGUACGGUCGCAAGAUUAAAACUCAAAGGAAUUGACGGGGGGCCGCACAAGCGGUGGAGCAUGUGGUUCAAUUCGAAGCAACGCGAAGAACCUUACCAGCCCUUGACAUGGCAGGACGACGUUCAGAGACGGACGUUUUCCCUUCGGGGACCUGCACACAGGUGCUGCAUGGCUGUCGUCAGCUCGUGUCGUGAGACGUUGGGUUAAGUCCCGCAACGAGCGCAACCCUCGCCCUUAGUUGCCAUCAUUAAGUUGGGCACUCUAGGGGGACUGCCGGUGAUAAGCCGGAGGAAGGUGGGGAUGAUGUCAAGUCUUCAUGGCCCUUACGGGCUGGGCUACAAGCUCGUGUCUUGAGACGUUGGGUUAAGUCCCGCAACGAGCGCAACCCUCGCCCUUAGUUGCCAUCAUUAAGUUGGGCACUCUAGGGGGACUGCCGGUGAUAAGCCGGAGGAAGGUGGGGAUGAUGUCAAGUCUUCAUGGCCCUUACGGGCUGGGCUACACACGUGCUACAAUGGCGGUGACAGAGGGCAGYGACCAYGCAGAGUSGACUGCUAGAGGAUCCUAMWAGCCGUCUCAKAUCGGAUU
rnacentral:rRNA from 1 species